GAGGAGGGAGUGGAGGGGGGCAGUGAAGAUCGAAAUUUGGAUUUGAAAGCACCCAAAUCUCCUUCCUCCAUUUCCAAAACCCUAGCCGCCAUGCCUGACCUCCCCUGCGACGGCGAUGGCGUCUGCAUGCUCUGCCACGCCGCCGCCCCUCCCGAGGUCGACCUCCUCCGAUGCUCCACCUGCGCAACCCCCUGGCACUCCCCCUGCCUCUCCAACCCACCUGCCCUCGCCGACGCCGCCCGCUGGACCUGCCCCGACUGCUCCGCCGACGCCCCGCCCCCGGCCCCUGCUCCCCUCGCCGCCGGGGGUGCCGGCCAACUCGUCGCCGCCAUCCGCGCCAUCGAGUGCGACCACACCCUCUCCGACCAGGACAAGGCACGCCGCCGCCAGGAGCUUCUCGGUGGAACCGCGCCCGCCGACACCGACGCCGACGAUGACGAGGGGGACGACGUGCUCGAGGCUAUCGGCAAAAACUUCAGCUGCGCCUUCUGCAUGAAGCUUCCCGAACGCCCCGUCACCACGCCAUGUGGCCAUAACUUUUGCCUGAAGUGCUUCCAGAAAUGGAUUAACAGCGGAAAAAGAACAUGUGGUAAAUGCCGGGCACAAAUACCAGCAAAAAUGGCAGAGCAACCGAGAAUCAACUCAGCAUUAGUUUCAGUUAUCCGUAUGGCUAAGGUUUCAAAAAAUGCCAACUCAGCUGUCUCAGCAGCUGCAUGUCAUUACAUACGAAAUGAUGACAGACCCGACAAGGCUUUUACAACUGAAAGGGCUAAGAGAGCUGGAAAAGCUAAUGCUUCAAGUGGCCAGAUCUUUGUGACUAUCCCACCCGACCAUUUUGGUCCCAUUCUUGCAGAGAAUGACCCCAGAAGAAACAUGGGUGUUCGAGUUGGCGAGACAUGGGAAGACAGACUUGAAUGCAGGCAAUGGGGUGCUCAUUUUCCUCAUGUGGCUGGUAUUGCUGGCCAGUCCACAUAUGGUGCUCAGUCAGUAGCCCUCUCGGGUGGGUAUGUUGAUGAUGAGGACCAUGGCGAAUGGUUUCUAUAUACUGGAAGUGGUGGAAGAGAUCUAAGUGGGAACAAGCGUACAAACAAGGAGCAGUCCUCAGACCAGAAAUUUGAGAAGCUGAAUGCUGCUCUUCGUAUUAGUUGCCUAAAUGGUUAUCCUGUCAGGGUUGUGCGGUCCCACAAGGAGAAGCGUUCUUCAUAUGCUCCUGAACGUGGUGUGAGGUAUGAUGGAGUUUAUAGGAUUGAGAAAUGUUGGAGGAAGAUUAGUGUUCAGGGUACAUUCAAGGUUUGCAGGUAUCUAUUUGUACGUUGUGACAAUGAACCAGCUCCUUGGACCAGUGAUAUUUACGGUGACCGUCCGAGGCCACUACCCAAGGUUGCUGAGCUGAAAGGUGCAACAGACAUAUCAGAGAGGAAAGGAACUCCUUCAUGGAACUUUGAUGAUAAAGAAGGCUGGAAGUGGGUAAAGCCUCCACCAAUCAGCAGGAAGCCUAAUCUAUCAGGGGAUCCUGAGACUGACAAGCAAAUUCGGAGGGUUGUAAGGCGUGCUCAGAUGUCUGUGGCUGAAAGGCUGCUGAAAGAGUUUGGAUGUUCCAUUUGCAAGCAGGUGAUGAAGGAGCCACUUACUACUCCCUGUGCUCACAACUUCUGCAAGACAUGUUUACUUGGGGCAUAUGACAGCCAAUCAUCUAUAAGGGAGAGAAGCCGGGGUGGCCGUACUCUAAGGGCACAGAAGGUUGUAAAGAAGUGCCCUUCCUGUCCAACUGAUAUUUGUGACUUCCUAGCGAAUCCACAGAUAAAUCGAGAAAUGAUGGGUCUAAUUGAGUCCUUGCAAAAGAAAGCUGUUGAAGAAGGCGAUAACAAGACAAGCUCAGAUGGUAGCAAUGGGGCUGAGUCGUCUGGAGAUGAUGAAAACACCGAAGCUUUAGAGAAGGAAGAGGACGAAAGCAGCUUGAAUGACGAAGAUGAUGGUGAUAGGCAUGAAAAGACUGGGGGCCUCCUUAUUGUUGAUUCGGAUGCUAAGGAUGAUGGAGAAGUUGUCAAGAAGAGCAAAGGAGAGGACGAGAAAGGACAAGGUGACAAGAAGACCAAGGACAGUGCUGAUGCGGUGGUGGACAUUGCAGUCGAAGAGAAACAGAUGGAGGGCUCUAAGAAGGCUGAGAACAAGCAGGGAGGUGGUCAGCAGGCAAGGAAGCGUAAGGGGAAUGCUGAGACUGUCGCCACCAAUGGUGGUAAAAGGAUGAAAACCGCUGCUGGUGGUGGUGAUGAUAUGGAGACAGUGGUGGAAGAAGAUGGUCCCCUGAAUGGAGGCACUCCUAUGAAGAGGAGCAGGAAGAGUGGUGAGGUGGAUGCUAAAGGCAGCGGCGGUAGCCCUGUUGCGAGCAGCCCUCGCAGGGUGACGAGGAGCAGCGCAAAGGCUGGUGAAGCCGAUGGUAGCCCUGCGACAAGGACCAGGAGGGCUAGCCGGGCUGAUACAGGUGCUCUCUGAAGCCUCAAGGUGGGUUGGCUGUAGAGGGAGUGCUUGAGCCAUGGCGGAAGCUGAAGCCAUGUCUCAACUUUUGGGGUCGUAUAUUCUAUGAAUCUAUAGUAAUUUGGGCCGUGUGCCUUGUGCUGCUCUACAGCACUAGUAGUUUGGUUCGCAAGUGGGAACUCAGAACUUUGGACCUGGAACUGGCGCGCUGUGCCUACUGUGCUGGCUUUUGGGUGGGUUGUUAGUCGAAGGAAACAUACCUAUAUACAGUAGCUGUGGAGUACCGUUACCUUUACCUGUAUGGAUGAUGAAUGUUCAUCAUACUCUUUUCCUAGCACUGGCAUGGUUUGCCUUUCUUCUUUAAUGUCUUUAACUAAUCUAAUCUGCUGCUGCUAUGCCUCUUAAGAUGCCUGAGGGUCGUCGUACUCAGCUCGCGUAUUUUGCAGGCUGCGAUCGAUCAUGAUAUUGAAAUCCCUGAAGUGCACUGCAUGGGUGAAGAAGGGACACGGACACAUGAAAUGAAUCAAGGCGAGUUUUCAGC